GGAGAGGUGGCAGAGCGGUCGAAUGCACUGGUCUUGAAAACCAGCAAAGGUUAGUAGCCUUUCGUGGGUUCGAAUCCCACCCUCUCCGCCA
rnacentral:tRNA from 1 species